rnacentral:rRNA from 1 species
UGCUGCAUGAAUUUGAAUGUGCGGUAAGCACUGCCCGGUGCUUCGGUAAACGGCGGCGUAAAGUUUUAAAGUAGCGAAAUUCCUAGCCCUUUAAUUGGGGGCGUGCAUGAAGUGUUAACGAGAGAAUAAUUGUCUCUUUUAUGUAGUCUGAAAUUGAGCUUUAGAUGAAAUCGUCUAAAUGGUUUCAAAAGACGAUAAGACCCCGUGCAGCUUUAUUUAAGGCGGGAUUGAUUUCGUUGAAGGAUUAACUGGGGCAGUUGGAGAAUAAAAAACUUUCUCUUUUAGAAAAAGAGUGUUAGCUGAAGAUCUAGUAAGAUUAGUCAAUAGAAAAGCUACGCCGGGGAUAACAGGGUGAAUUUGAAGCGGAGUACAUAUCAGCUUCAGAGUUUACCACCUCGAUGUUGAAUCAAGGGUAAGUUUGGGUGUAGAAGUUCAAUUUUAGGGUCUGUUCGACCUUUAGAGCCUU